rnacentral:lncRNA from 1 species
CUCAGAUGUAAUAAUGUAUUUGAGAACUUGGUUUGCUUCCCAAUUUCCUGACAUUCUCCCACCCCAAAUUAAUGCUUUAUAAUUUACACAGUGUUUUCUUAUUGCUUCCAGAAUCAUGAGGGGUCACCUUUGGUUAAGGAAAUACGUAUCUAUCAACAAAUUAAGGGACCUGGGGAUCUGUUCGUAAAGAUUCUUCAAAUCUUCAUCUGGGAGCCUUUUAUGGUGCAGGUUGGUAGCUUUCUGGAGCCACGAGCUUAUAUCAGAGACCAUCUUCCCCUUGGAAUAUAGCAGCUGACUGAAAACGAAGUUAACCCUAAUACCAUGUACCACAGAUAGAUCCCAUCUCAAGGGCCACUUGGAAAUCUUGACAAGAAAUGUGCCACAAAGAAGUACAGGCAUUGUGAUAUGAAGAAUGGAAAUGGGACACCCUGAAAAGCUGAUUCAUUUUAAACACGAAAGCCAAGGAUCCAUUGAUGUGUCAAGGUGCAGAUUUACAACAUGGCCAAUUUGGUCUGGAGAAAGCAAAACGUGACUUCUCUCAUGGGAACUGAAUCCACAAUCUUAUCCUUUCUAGUCUUAGAUUCUAAUAGAAAUGAAGAACAAUGCAAAUGAAUGGUGAUUUUAGAAAUCAUCUUUAAAUUUAAUCCUUUGACAGACAAAUUAGUGUGGUCCUCUCCCACCUAUCAAUAAUACCUGAAUAGCCUACUAUGCUUUCAUCUGGCAGAAUCUGUUGGAAAGUUAUUUGUGUUGUUUUCCAUUUAUAUAGUUCAAGGUAAAUCCCAACAGUACUAUAAACCAUGGGAAUUUUCAAGCCUACAUAGCCCCUGAUCUUUUCAAUAGCCCCAAAGGGUCCUAGGCCCCCGUGAACUCAGACUCCAAGUAAUUUGAGAAAGUCUCACUCUGUUCUGAAGAUCUAAAGGCAGUAAAUCAGUUGCUCUGGACCCUGUUGGGAUUGAGUCUAAUAAGGGAAGUUUCCUUAUAAAUAACAAUGGGAUUGAUUAGUGGCCCAAUAAUAAAACCUUUUUUUCCCCCA